GACGAACGCUGGCGGCGUGCUUAACACAUGCAAGUCGAACGCUGAAGCCCUUCGGGGUGGAUGAGUGGCGAACGGGUGAGUAACACGUGGGUAAUCUGCCCUGCACUCUGGGAUAAGCCUUGGAAACGGGGUCUAAUACCGGAUAGGACACAUCGCCGCAUGGUGUGUGUGUGGAAAGUUCCGGCGGUGCAGGUUGAGCCCGCGGCCUAUCAGCUUGUUGGUGGGGUGAUGGCAUACCAAGGCGACGACGGGUAGCCGGCCUGAGAGGGUGACCAGCCACACUGGGAGUGGGACAGGGCGCAGACGCGUACGGGAGGCAGCGGUGGCGGUUCUUGCCGAGUGGGCGAAAGCCGGAGGCAGCAACGCCGCGUUAGGGAUGACGGCCUUCAGGUUGUAAACCUCUUUCAAAAGGGACGAAGGGUUCGUUUGACUGUACCGGUAGAAGCAGCACCGGCUAACUACGUGCCAGCAGCCGCGGUAA
rnacentral:rRNA from 1 species